rnacentral:rRNA from 1 species
CCCUAGUAACUGCGAGUGAAGCGGGAAAAGCUCAAAUUUAAAAUCUGGUGGUCUUAGACUAUCCGAGUUGUAAUCUAGAGAAGUGUUAUCCGCGUUGGACCGUGUACAAGUCUCCUGGAAUGGAGCGUCAUAGAGGGUGAGAAUCCCGUCUUUGACACGGACUGCCAAGGCUUUGUGAUGCGCUCUCAAAGAGUCGAGUUGUUUGGGAAUGCAGCUCAAAAUGGGUGGUAAAUUCCAUCUAAAGCUAAAUAUUGGCGAGAGACCGAUAGCGAACAAGUACCGUGAGGGAAAGAUGAAAAGAACUUUGGAAAGAGAGUUAAACAGUACGUGAAAUUGCUGAAAGGGAAACGCUUGAAGUCAGUCGCGUUGUCCGGAAAUCAACCUUGCUUUUGCUGGGUGUAUUUUCUGGUUGACGGGUCAGCAUCAAUUUUGACUGUUGGAUAAAGUCUAGGGGAAUGUGGCAUUUUCGGAUGUGUUAUAGCCCUUGGUCGCAUACAACGGUUGGGAUUGAGGAACUCAGCACGCCGCAAGGCCGAGUAUUUAUACUACGUUCGUGCUUAGGAUGUUGGCAUAAUGGCUUUAAUCGACCCGUCUUGAAACACGGACCAAGGAGUCUAACAUGCCUGCGAGUGUUUGGGUGGAAAACCCGAGCGCAUAAUGAAAGUGAAAGUUGAGAUCCCUGUCGCGGGGAGCAUCGACGCCCGGACUUGACCUUUUGUGACGGAUCCGCGGUAGAGCAUGUAUGUUGGGACCC